AAUAUAUACACAUAUAUGCAAAAUAUGUACAAAGGUUUCCACUGACUUAACUAGGUCAUUUUUGAUUAGUUGAGCUAAUCAGUAUUAUUCAAAAUAUUUAGGUAGUGUAAUAGUGAAAUCAACAAUUUAUACCCAAAUGUACAUAAAUAUAAAUACAUAUCUAAGCCCAGUCUUCCUCACUAAAAGCAUAUUUGAAUGAAAUACUCUUAUAUAAGUCUAAAACAAAAUGCUAAUUAACAUGAAUUAUUGAUCGCAUAGCAUUAUGUCACCAAGUUCAAGAUCAGCCGAAUUAAAACAGGCUUGUCGCCGAACGUCACUCUUUGAACAAACCCGUUUAAUGGGUUUGUCGCAAACUCGUCUUCGUCAAAUGGGAUUCACACCCCACUUGAGAGGAAAUACACACAUAUAUGGUCUGAAAUGCCGGGAGUCCGUGGUGUUGGAAGUCUGAAGUAAAAUUUGUACAUGAAAGAUAAAUAGGCAGUGAGGAAAUGAGCUCAUGGAGAGACAAGAGAAACCACAAGAAUUGCUCUAUCGCACAGCGAGAUGCAACAGUUGUCCCACCCGUCCAAGUCUAAAUGCUCCUCCGUCUUCUCUCUUUCUCAGAAGAAUUCAUUGGGUUCGCAUGAACUUGUGAAUACGGCUCACUUAGAAGCGUACAUAUGUAUAUGUAAGUUUGCCGCGACGGAAUUAGGUCAUUAAUAGUAAAUUGCCAAGGAUAAGGUCACCGUCA
rnacentral:sRNA from 1 species